rnacentral:snoRNA from 1 species
UUCCACCUAUGAUGAGUCGCAAACCUUAUUGCCUACAUUGUUUGAUCAAUCUUAUGAGAAGCUUCCUCAAGGACUGAGGAUGAA